CUGAACUGUAUGUACUUCAACGCGUUUCUGGCCACGACAACUUCCCAGCCUUUUAUGGAGCCUAUUAUCUACGGCCCAGCAUUUCAACUGAAGAGGCGCUAUGGAUUGCUAUGACAAUGUGUGCUGGUGGCUCCGUAGACGCCUUAAUUAGGAGCACGCCCAAUAGAUCCUUGGAUGAGACCUGGAUUUCAUACAUAUGCUGGAAAGUUUUACAGGUAAGACAGAUAUUAACCCCUUCAUUGCUUUUCAUAAUCUCUGCUCACCGACUUUGUAUCCUAUUAAUUCUAGAAUAUAAAAAUAUAUACAUGUUCAUGUUUGCUUUAUUCUUCUUUCUAGGGCCUGGAUUACUUACAGGAACUGAGCGUGAUACAUCAUGAUCUCAAGGGCGCCAAUAUAAUGUUAACUUCUACGGCCCGUGUGAAGAUAAUUGAUUUUGGCCUUGCCACAAUAGGGCCCAUCAGUACAAGUAAUGCAGGAACCCGCUGUUGGAUGGCACCUGAAGUCCAUGCAUGUUUUACAGGAAAUGUACAUUAUAA